GAUGAACGCUAGCGAUAGGCUUAACACAUGCAAGUCGAGGGGCAGCACAAGGUAGCUUGCUAUCUGGGUGGCGACCGGCGCACGGGUGCGUAACGCGUAUGCAACUUGCCCUAUACAGGAGGAUAACCCGUCGAAAGACGGACUAAUACUGCGUAUGCUCACAACUUGGCAUCAAGUGGUGAGGAAAGAAAUUCGGUAUAGGAUAGGCAUGCGUCCCAUUAGCUUGUUGGUGAGGUAACGGCUCACCAAGGCAACGAUGGGUAGGGGAACUGAGAGGUUUAUCCCCCACACUGGUACUGAGACACGGACCAGACUCCUACGGGAGGCAGCAGUGAGGAAUAUUGGUCAAUGGGCGCGAGCCUGAACCAGCCAAGUCGCGUGAAGGAUGACUGUCUUAUGGAUUGUAAACUUCUUUUAUACGGGAAUAACAAGAGUCACGUGUGACUCCCUGCAUGUACCGUAUGAAUAAGCAUCGGCUAACUCCGUG
rnacentral:rRNA from 1 species